CGAAUUCCAGGUCUGGUGUCGGAUUGUCUUUGACCUACAGCCUUCAUGACAAAAUGAGCAUUUGAAGAAAGUUGCACAAGUCCCUACCCCUGAAUGGGUCCCGCCCCUGCCUACUUUUGCCUGAACCCUUACCUUACUGCCUCCCUAAUCAGUUAUCAAGGGACAUAGGCAAGAGGAAGGAGACUGUCUCCUGGAGUCCCCAAACCCGUGACUGCAGUGUGAACAUUGCUUCCCCAGGACUGUCCAGGACUAUCCAUCCUGGAGCUGAAGGCAGGACCCACUUGUGUCCGGCAGGGGAAAAAGGUAGAUCCCUCAACAGCAUUAUGGAAUGUAGGCUACAAAGCUGAUCUGAAGCCAGAAAACCAACACAUAUCCCCUACAACAUCUUGACUGAUUAAAUACAAACCUAAAACUCA